AUUUUUUUUUGUGUAUAUCUUGGUAUUGCAUACCAUUUAAAGAAAAUUUUAUAGUUAUAAAAAAUAGAAUUAAAAGGUAGAAAGACUAUUAUUUUUAUUGUUUCACAAUAAAAAUUAUAGUCUUUAGUGUUGAGAAGUCGACUUUUAGGAUAUCUGUUUAGGUUUAUAAAAUUAGAAAUUUAUUGUUUUAAAUUUGUUUGGUUAUAAAAAGUAAAAGUUGAAGUAUUUUUGUUACUAGUUUUAUAACAGUUUAUAAAAAUUAGGUUAUAUUUUAUUUAUUUUACAAUAAAUUUUUAUUGUAUAAAUUAUUUUAAAAUUAGUAGUUAGUUAAAUAAUGUUAGUGUUGUUAAUAUAAUUAAAAAACUCAAAAGUUAAUCAAAUGUUUUUUAAAGACUUAGACUUUUAAUUAAAGUUUGCUUCUGCCCCAUGAUUGGUUUUAAAUGGCAGUCUUAGCGUGAGGACAUUAAGGUAGCAAAAUAAUUUGUGCUUUUAUUGGGUUCCAGUAUGAAUGAAGUUAUUGGUUAAUUUAUUUUUUGGUUUUGAAAUGAAGUUUUGUUUAAUAUAAAAAAGUAUUGUUGUAAUAAUACAAAGAUAAGUCUUCGGAAAUUCUUUUUUAUAUUAUAAUACUUGGUUAUAAUGUAAAAAUUUUCUAGGGCAGAAUUUUAUAUAAUUGUUAUAUCUAUUGAUAAUUUAAUGAAUUACUCCGGAGUUAACAGAAAAUCAUAUCUAAUCUAGUUCUUAUAGUAAGAUAAGUUUUACAUCGAUGUUGUAUUUAAGUUUAUUAAGAAGGGAGAAGAUUUAAUUUUUAAGACUGUUCUUCUUUUAAUUAAUUUAACGUGAUAUUAGUUUAAUUCAUUGUGAGAUAGAAUUGUUUAUCUUGUUUAUUACUUUUAGGAAGUUUUAAUAGUACGAAAGGAAAAUAAAAAAAGUUUUAAACUUUAUAAGUUAUUUGCUUGAUGU
rnacentral:rRNA from 1 species